GGAGGGGUGGCCUGGCUGGAUGUUGUCAGUGGUAGGCCCUGGGUUCAGUCCCCAGUACCACAAGAGGCUUGAGUGGCCGAAGGCACACUAGAAGAUUCAGGUAAUUGGAAUUAAAAAUGUCAAAGUAACUUCUUAGAAGACAUGAAGAGGGGAAAAGGAGACAUAACUGGCACUAUCACCCAAAUAAAGUAACCAGAGUUAAAAUCGCCAGUCAUGAGACACAUUUGCCAAUAAGAAUA